UGCGUAGGUGGUGAGGUAAGUUUGGUGUGAAAGCUCCGGGCUCAACCUGGAAAGGUCAUCGAAUACUAUCUUACUAGAGGAUCGGAGGGGAGACUGGAAUUCUCGGUGUAGCAGUGAAAUGCGUAGAUAUCGAGAGGAACACCAGUGGCGAAGGCGAGUCUCUGGACGAUUCCUGACACUGAGGCACGAAAGCUAGGGGAGCAAACA
rnacentral:rRNA from 1 species